GUAGUCCACGCCGUAAACGAUGCACACUAGAUCGGAGAGGCUCUCACGCCCCUCUGGUCGCAGGAAAACCAUUAAGUGUGCCGCCUGGGGAGUACGGUCGCAAGACUAAAACUCAAAGAAAUUGACGGGGGCUCACACAAGCGGUGGAGCAUGUUGCUUAAUUCGAGGCAACGCGAAGAACCUUACCUGGGUUUGACAUGCACGGAUUAACUCGAUGAAAGUUGAGCCACACCCGCAAGGGUGGAACGUGCACAGGUGCUGCAUGGCUGUCGUCAGCUCGUGCUGUGAAGUGUCGGGUUAAGUCCCUUAACGAGCGCAACCCCUGUCGUUAGUUACUAACGGGUAAUGCCGAGGACUCUAGCGAGACUGCCGGUGUCAAACCGGA
rnacentral:rRNA from 1 species